rnacentral:rRNA from 1 species
CGUGUAGGCGGCCAGGUAGGUCCGUUGUGAAAACUGGAGGCUUAACCUCCAGCCGUCGACGGAAACCAUCUGGCUAGAGUCCGGAAGAGGAGAGUGGAAUUCCUGGUGUAGCGGUGAAAUGCGCAGAUAUCAGGAAGAACACCCGUGGCGAAGGCGGCUCUCUGGGACGGUACUGACGCUGAGACGCGAAAGCGUGGGGAGCGAACA